rnacentral:rRNA from 1 species
AUUGAACGCUGGCGGCAGGCUUAACACAUGCAAGUCGAGCGGAGCGAGGGUGCUUGCACCUUAGCUUAGCGGCGGACGGGUGAGUAAUGCUUAGGAAUCUACCUAUUAGUGGGGGACAACAUUCCGAAAGGAAUGCUAAUACCGCAUACGCCCUACGGGGGAAAGCAGGGGAUCUUCGGACCUUGCGCUAAUAGAUGAGCCUAAGUCGGAUUAGCUAGUGGGUGGGGUAAAGGCUUAUCAAGGCGACGAUCUGUAGCGGGUCUGAGAGGAUGGUCCGCCACACUGGGACAGAGACACGGCCCGGACUCCUACGGGAGGCAGAAGUGGGGAGUAUGGGACAAUGGGCGGAAGCCUGAUCCAGCCAUGCCGCGUGUGUGAAGAAGGCCUUUUGGUUGUAAAGCACUUUAAGCGAGGAGGAGGCUCUUAAGGUUAAUACCCUUGAUGAGUGGACGUUACUCGCAGAAUAAGCACCGGCUAACUCUGUGCCAGCCGCCGCAGUAACAC